AGUUUUUCGUAUCCAUGCUGAGAUUUCGUCAGACACCAACCCAUUAGGGCUGAUCAGACUUCCAAGGUAAGUGAAGUU
rnacentral:pre_miRNA from 1 species